AGUUUGAUUCAUGGCUCAGGACGAACGCUGGCGGCGUGCUUAACACAUGCAAGUCGAGCGGUAAGGCCUUUCGGGGUACACGAGCGGCGAACGGGUGAGUAACACGUGGGUGAUCUGCCCUGCACUCUGGGAUAAGCUUGGGAAACUGGGUCUAAUACCGGAUAUGACUGCAUGCCGCAUGGUGUGUGGUGGAAAGAUUUAUCGGUGCAGGAUGGGCCCGCGGCCUAUCAGCUUGUUGGUGGGGUAAUGGCCUACCAAGGCGACGACGGGUAGCCGACCUGAGAGGGUGACCGGCCACACUGGGACUGAGACACGGCCCAGACUCCUACGGGAGGCAGCAGUGGGGAAUAUUGCACAAUGGGCGGAAGCCUGAUGCAGCGACGCCGCGUGAGGGAUGAAGGCCUUCGGGUUGUAAACCUCUUUCAGCAGGGACGAAGCGUGAGUGACGGUACCUGCAGAAGAAGCACCGGCUAACUACGUGCCAGCAGCCGCGGUAAUACGUAGGGUGCGAGCGUUGUCCGGAAUUACUGGGCGUAAAGAGUUCGUAGGCGGUUUGUCGCGUCGUUUGUGAAAACCCGGGGCUCAACUUCGGGCUUGCAGGCGAUACGGGCAGACUUGAGUGUUUCAGGGGAGACUGGAAUUCCUGGUGUAGCGGUGAAAUGCGCAGAUAUCAGGAGGAACACCGGUGGCGAAGGCGGGUCUCUGGGAAACAACUGACGCUGAGGAACGAAAGCGUGGGUAGCAAACAGGAUUAGAUACCCUGGUAGUCCACGCCGUAAACGGUGGGCGCUAGGUGUGGGUUCCUUCCACGGGAUCUGUGCCGUAGCUAACGCAUUAAGCGCCCCGCCGG
rnacentral:rRNA from 1 species